rnacentral:rRNA from 1 species
GACGAACGCUGGCGGCGUGCCUAACACAUGCAAGUCGAACGGAAAGGCCCUACGGGGUUCUUGAGAGGCGUAGCGGUGGGCGGCAGGUGGACGAUUGGCCCUGCACCUUGUGAUACGUGGGGGACACCGGGUCUAAUAUGCCAUUAGAACAUCGGCUUCCCGGCGUGUGGGGGCAAGAUGUUGUGGCGUUGGCUGGGCGCGCGGGCAACCAGGUCGUUGGCGGGGUAUUGGGCUACAAAGGCGACGACGGGUAGCCGGCCUGAGAGGGUGACCGGCCACAAUGGGACUGAGAUACGGCCCAGACUCCUACGGGAGACAGCAGGGGGGAAUAUUGCACAAUGGGCGCAAGCCUGAUGCAGCGACGCCGCGUGAGGAAUGACGGCCUUCGGGUAGUAAACAGCAUUCAAUAAAGACGAAGCGGAAGUGACGGUACCUAUAGAAGAAGCACCGGCCAACUACGUG